ACUGGAUUUAUGUUUAUUUAUUUUUUUUAUAAUAUUUUUGAUAGCAGACAUUAUUUUUGCAUUUUGUAUUGGAUUCCUUUUACGAAAGUCCAUUCGUGAACGCAACACAUUUCCUGCAGAUGGGACAAAAGUUCGUUUCGAAAAGGCUGUUCGCAUGUGCCCUUGCUUACACGGAUAUUAUCCAAAUGGGGCGAAAGGCACUUUAUCAUACAAGGUAACCGAGGUAACUAUCUCAAAGGAAAAGAGCAAAAGAUCUGUAGAUGAAUUUGCUACUUCACACAUGAAAAAAUAUCCAUUUUUGGUGGCUCUGAGCUUACCUGCAUAUAAAGAUGAUACAGGACACAAAAUUUUCUCUUGCAGUGGUUUGGUUUUGUCAACCAAGUGGAUGUUAACAAGCGAAUCUUGUGUUCAAGACGAUUUAGAAUGGUUCAAUUUAACAGUGCGCUCUGAAAGUCCAUUUUGGGGGCAUCUAGGUCGAGAGCACGCUGUUAUUAAGGUUGUUCGAUCAAACUACGAUGGUUUGGUACAACUUCAAAUAUCACCAAAAUUUUCUGAAAGAAUUGUUCCACUUCCACCCAUUAAAUACCUCUUUACUAAUAAAUGGAACUAUGCCGUUUCUCUAGGUUGGAAUGACAAUAUGUAUCGCCAAAAACUCGGCUAUAGAUACAAACACAAAGUGUUUGAUGUCGAAAAGUGGAAAACAGGAAUUUCUAAAUCAAAAUCCACGUUGACAUGUCUGAAUUGUGGAAAGUUUUCUAGUAAAGUAUUACUGACAACUUGUCAUCAAGUAGUUGGAAUGGAGUCUGUCGGCCAACAAACGUUUUCUUUGUCUAAAAACCUAGCAUCAGAAAUGCAAAAUGCAUGCAGCCAAUGUUAUCCCAUACAUCAGGAUAUUGCAGAUUUUGAUUUUGAAGAUGGAGAUAUUUGUCAUAAUUAUAACUGAAGUAGUUUACUUUUACCUUGUAAUAAAGUUUUCUAAGUAAUAAUAAAAACUGUUAGUAUUGGAA